rnacentral:rRNA from 1 species
UGGGGAAUUUGGACAAUGGGCGAAAGCCUGAUCCAGCAAUGCCGCGUGUGUGAAGAAGGCCUUCGGGUUGUAAAGCACUUUUGUCCGGAAAGAAAUCCUUGGCUCUAAUACAGUCGGGGGAUGACGGUACCGGAAGAAUAAGCACCGGCUAACUACGUGCCAGCAGCCGCGGUAAUACGUAGGGUGCAAGCGUUAAUCGGAAUUACUGGGCGUAAAGCGUGCGCAGGCGGUUUGCUAAGACCGAUGUGAAAUCCCCGGGCUCAACCUGGGAACUGCAUUGGUGACUGGCAGGCUAGAGUAUGGCAGAGGGGGGUAGAAUUCCACGUGUAGCAAGUGAAAUGCGUAGAGAUGUGGAGGAAUACCGAUGGCCGAAGGCAGCCCCCUGGGCCAAUACUGACGCUCAUGCACGAAAGCGUGGGGAGCAAACAGGAUUAGAUACCCUGGUAGUCCACGCCCUAAACGAUGUCAACUAGUUGUGGGGAUUCAUUCCUUAGUAACGUAGCUAACGCGUGAAGUUGACCGCCUGGGGAGUACGGUCGCAAGAUUAAAACUCAAAUGAAUUGACGGGGUCAUAGCUG